rnacentral:rRNA from 1 species
GACAGAGGGGGCAAGCGUUGCUCGGAAUUACUGGGCGUAAAGGGCGCGUAGGCGGUCCGAUAAGUCCCGUGUGAAAGCCCCCGGCUCAACUGGGGAACUGCACGGGAAACUGACGGACUUGAGUUCGGGAGAGGGAAGCGGAAUUCCGGGUGUAGCGGUGAAAUGCGUAGAUAUCCGGAGGAACACCGGUGGCGAAGGCGGCUUCCUGGACCGACACUGACGCUGAUGCGCGAAAGCUAGGGGAGCAAACGGG